CUUCACUGUCAAAGUGUCUAUUACUGAUAUUGUCUAAACUUGGAAGUAAAGCAAGGCAAGGUCUGGUUAGUAUUUAAAUAGGAGGCCACCUGGAUAUACUAGGUACUGUUGAAGA
rnacentral:rRNA from 1 species